GACGAACGCUGGCGGCGUGCUUAACACAUGCAAGUCGAACGGAAAGGCCCUGCUUUUGUGGGGUGCUCGAGUGGCGAACGGGUGAGUAACACGUGAGUAACCUGCCCUUGACUUUGGGAUAACUUCAGGAAACUGGGGCUAAUACCGGAUAGGAGCUCCUGCUGCAUGGUGGGGGUUGGAAAGUUUCGGCGGUUGGGGAUGGACUCGCGGCUUAUCAGCUUGUUGGUGGGGUAGUGGCUUACCAAGGCUUUGACGGGUAGCCGGCCUGAGAGGGGGACCGGCCACAUUGGGACUGAGAUACGGCCCAGACUCCUACGGGAGGCAGCAGGGGGGAAUAUUGCACAAUGGGCGGAAGCCUGAGGCAGCAACGCCGCGUGCGUGAUGACGGCCUUCGGGUUGUAAACCGCUUUCGCCUGUGACGAAGCGUGAGUGACGGUAAUGGGUAAAGAAGCACCGGCUAACUACGUG
rnacentral:rRNA from 1 species